rnacentral:Y_RNA from 1 species
GGCUGGUCUGAUUGCAGUGGUACUUAUAAUUCAUUGAUCACAAGUUUCUUUGUUCUUUUUCCACUCCCACUACAUCACUCAACUAAUCUUUU